rnacentral:lncRNA from 1 species
AUGUUGGAACAAGAAGUAUGAGCAACCAGAAUUUAAAAAAAUCUUGCUAAGGUUCUGAACAUAGAAGAGGUCUGUUUUCCUAUCAUUCGACACUGAAAUGACGUUUCCAGGAUAAAAUUCUCCAAUUCAUGUCGAGUGUGCUUAUCCAUGUUUUCCCCAGGAGAGUCAAACUCUUGAUGACGGUAUUUAGCAGUUGGUAAAUGCCUAGUGUGCUGAGUCUGUGCAGAUCUGAUACUCUUCACAGUCCCUGACCAAAGCCCCGGAUCCU